AUUGAACGCUGGCGGCAGGCUUAACACAUGCAAGUCGAGCGGGGUGAUGGUGCUUGCACUAUCACUUAGCGGCGGACGGGUGAGUAAUGCUUAGGAAUCUGCCUAUUAGUGGGGGACAACAUCUCGAAAGGGAUGCUAAUACCGCAUACGUCCUACGGGAGAAAGCAGGGGGUCACUUGUGACCUUGCGCUAAUAGAUGAGCCUAAGUCGGAUUAGCUAGUUGGUGGGGUAAAGGCCUACCAAGGCGACGAUCUGUAGCGGGUCUGAGAGGAUGAGCCGCCACACUGGGACUGAGACACGGCCCAGACUCCUACGGGAGGCAGCAGUGGGGAAUAUUGGACAAUGGGGGGAACCCUGAUCCAGCCAUGCCGCGUGUGUGAAGAAGGCCUUAUGGUUGUAAAGCACUUUAAGCGAGGAGGAGGCUCUUUUGGUUAAUACCCAAGAUGAGUGGACGUUACUCGCAGAAUAAGCACCGGCUAACUCUGUGCCAGCAGCCGCCGUAA
rnacentral:rRNA from 1 species